rnacentral:rRNA from 1 species
UACGAGGGGAGCUAGCGUUGUUCGGAAUUACUGGGCGUAAAGCGCGUGUAGGCGGCCCUGCAAGUCGGAUGUGAAAUCCCACGGCUCAACCGUGGAAGUGCAUUCGAAACUGCAGGGCUAGAGUCCUGGAGAGGAAGGUGGAAUGCUUGGUGUAGAGGUGAAAUUCGUAGAUAUCAAGCGGAACACCGGUGGCGAAGGCGGCCUUCUGGACAGUGACUGACGCUGAGACGCGAAAGCGUGGGGAGCAAACAGG